AGUGAACGCUGGCGGUAGGCCUAACACAUGCAAGUCGAACGGCAGCACAGUAAGAGCUUGCUCUUACGGGUGGCGAGUGGCGGACGGGUGAGGAAUACAUCGGAAUCUACUUUUUCGUGGGGGAUAACGUAGGGAAACUUACGCUAAUACCGCAUACGACCUACGGGUGAAAGCAGGGGAUCUUCGGACCUUGCGCGAUUGAAUGAGCCGAUGUCGGAUUAGCUAGUUGGCGGGGUAAAGGCCCACCAAGUCGACGAUCCGUAGCUGGUGUGAGAGGAUGGUAAGCCACACUGGAACGGAGACACGGUCCAUACUCCUGAGGGAGGCAGCAGUGGGGAAUAGUGGACAAUGGGCGCAAGUCUGAUCCAGCCAUACCGCGUGGGUGAAGAAGGCCUUCGGGUUGUAAAGCCCUUUUGUUGGGAAAGAAAAGCAGCAGGUUAAUACCCCGCUGUUCUGACGGUACUCAAAGAAUAAGCACCGGCUAACUUCGUG
rnacentral:rRNA from 1 species